UCUUUUACUAAUUGAUGAAAUUGUUUGAUCUUAAAAGGAUGAGAAAUAGCUUAAAACCCCUCUAUUUAUAUUCGAAAUUUUAAUUAUACACUUUAAUUAUAUGAGAGUUUUAUCACCCUUCUCAACAUUUUUUUUCAAUCUAUUUCUAACACUCUUAAAUGUUAACUUAUCCACAUAAAUCAAAUAUAAUGAGUAGCGUGUAUAUAUGCACGGAUCCCACUUAAAUAUUAUGGACAUUAGACCCACUAUUUUCUCUUGUUCUUUCACUCGAUCAUUUCUCUUUCUUCUAUUCCCUCAUAAACUUCUUGAAGACCCACUCUUUUUUCUUUUUCCUUGAUUGAUUACGCAUUUUUCAAGCAUUCUUGUGUGUUUUCAGCUUAAUUUCAGUAAAAGUUAUCUGCUUAAUUUCAAUAAAGGAUGGAAACAAUCAGAUGCUGCCACUUGCUUGGGCAGUAGUUGAAAAGGAGAACAAAAACUCAUGAACUAUGUUUGUCAAGUGCAUAAGGGAUAACCUAGAACUGGGAGAUGGUGAAGGUCUCACCUUGAUUAUAGAUAUGCAAAAGGUAUGUGAAUUAUUUUAUGUUGUUAUUUUUACGUAAUUGUAAACUAUAUGAAGGAACUGUAAUUGUGACCUAUCUACAAAGACUGUAAUUAUGACCUAUUUGCAAGGACUUUAAUUUUUACUUUCUAUUUGUAAUUGUGACCUAUCUCCAGGGACUUUAAUUUUCACUUUUUAUAUGUAAUAAUGACUUAUCUGCAGGGACUAUAUACAGCAAUUGAAGAGGUAUUACCUUAUUGUGAACAUAGAAAAUGUGCUGGCACAUAUUAGCUAAUUGGGCUAAGGAUCGAAUGGGUCUUCAGAGAAGACAAUAAUUUUGAAAGAUAGCCAAGAGUACAUUUGAGUCUCAAUUAAGGAAAAAUAUGGAGAAGAUGAAGUUGUUAGGUCCAAAAACAAUGAUGGAUGACUUGAUGUAUUAUAACAUUAAUUACUGGUGCAAAGUUUACUUCAACACUAAAGUAAAGUGUGAUUCUGUAGACAACAACAUGUUUGAGUGUUUUAAUACAUGAAUCUUGGCAGCUAGGCACAAGACCAUAAUUACUCUGCUUGAAGAAAUAAGAGUGAAGAUGAUGAAAAGAAUAGCCAAUUUAAGGGAGUUUUCAAGUUCUUGAAAAUAUAGUUUCUCUCCAAUGGCUUUAAAGGAUUUAGAGGAGAACAUUACUAGGUAUAUGAACUGUACCAUUGAUUUUAAUGAAGUUGAUGGAUUAUAAGUGAAAGAAGGGCUUUGUCAACACAAAAUGGUUAUUGCCAAGAGGACUUGUAGUUGUAGGGUAUGGCAGUUAAAGGGCAUAUCAUGUGCACAUGUUGUGGCUGCAUUAUACUUUAGGAAGUUUUCUCUUUAUGACUAUAUAGAUAACUGUUAUAGUAAGGAAACUUACUUGAGGACUUAUGCCAAUGUUCUUGAACCACUCACAAAUAUGAAGAUGUGGCCAGUUUCUACAAAUCCUAUUAUUUCACCAUCAAAAAUCACAAACAUGCCUGGUAGGCCAUCUAAGGCUAGAAUGAAAGAAGUUGGAGAAACUAAGAAAUCUGAAAAGUUAUCUAGGAAUAGAUUUGCAAUGACAUGUAGUAUGUGCCAUGCUAGAGGACAUAAGAAUAGAGGGUGUCCUAGCACACCAUCACCAAUACCUAGUGCAUCAGUAAGGGUAGAAUCAACAGGUUUAGACAGGGAAGAGGCAGGCCAAAGAUAAUAUUUGAACUUGUUUUAAACAUUUACUAACUAUUAUUUUUAGUUUAUAACUUUUUUUUUAUUGUAUGUAUAAAAAACUCCAUCAGCACCGUUAGAAGGUGAGUCUCCACUAAAAAGAGGGAGACCAAAAAAGACAUCAUCAGUAUCACCUCAUCUACCUACUGCACCUAUUGAUUUUUCUGCAUUCUGUGCUGCUCCUUCUAGUUAUCAUGCAUCAUCUUCAGUAGCUAGUACUACUAAAAGAGGAAUAGGUAGGGGCAGAAAAAAUAUAGCUCCAGACAAAAGGCAAAGAGUCAUGGUAAUGAGUGUGUUUCAAGCUGCAAAUGGAUUCAAAGUCAUGAAUUCUGGCAUGCCAAAUAGUAAGAUCUACUCGACUAGUCGAGCAAAAAUGAGAAGCCCAACUAAUGUAGCUGGUGACAUUAGUUAUACACCAAGUACUACAAGUAAGCUGAAAUGGAAUGGCAAAACAGAAAUCACCACCAGAAAACUUCAAGAGCUUAGAGAAAAACAAAGAAAGAAAAUAGUGGAAAGUAGUUCAAAUAAUCCAAGUCAAAAUAGCACUUCUUCACAGUCAAACAUGCCAUGAAAAUUAUAGUAAUUUUGAUGUAUUUAAUCACUUUUUAAGUUAGUCCACUAGACAUGGUAACUAUUUCUUAUUUUGUUUUUUAGAAUGGCAAUGUUGAAGUAAUUA